AAUUUAUUGACUAUAAUAUGAUGAUUGUAAACAAUAAAAAUAAUGCCUAAAUUCAAACAAAGACGCACUUGCACGAAACAGCUAAUUAUGUCUUUAAGUUAUAUAAUCUGUGGAUUCUGGCUACGGAAAUUAAUAAAUUAGGUGCACAGGACAAAUCAAUUAUCAACUAAUUGUAAUUCGGUGUAACUCGCUGUUGGGCAACAGUUCAAGCGC